AGGAAAGGAGGCACCAGGACCUUGGCUUGGUCUGUGCCACUCUCACCCACAUCAGAGACGGCUCCCAGCAAUGCUGUAUAUAUUUGGGUCUUGAUAAGGACUCAUGUGAAGACUGCUCUCCUCUCAUCUGUCUUCUGCCCAUAAUCUCCACAGCUGUUCUUGGCAAGGACACUUGGACUAAAGAUUGGGACAGCUUACAUCUUGAUCAACUUGUCUGUUCCUGGCGAGAUCAGUCUGCGGUGAAGGGUUUUCUCAUCGUCGCUCUCUUGAGUGCAGCUGGAGCUGCUCUGGCUAAAGACUCUAAAGAUAAUCAGGAGUUGUCAUAUAAUUUUACCAUUCCUUACAUGGUCUAUCUUCAGUCCUUCCCAGAACCCUGCGUGGGGUCUCUCAUUCACCCUGACUGGGUAUUGACAGCUGCCCACUGCCCCUUACCUGUUGAAAUUCGACUGGGAGUUUCUCAACCUAGCAUCACAAACAAGAAACAACAGAUACGAAACUAUUCAUCGAUUGUGUCCUACCCUGACUUUGAUGCAAAAUCCUUGAACAAUGACCUAAUGAUGAUCAAACUAUCAACACCUGCUUCACUCAACCCCCAUGUGGGGACUAUAGCCAUAGCCUUGGAACCCAUUCCAUUUAAUGAAUCCUGCUUUAUUCCAACCUGGACCUGGAAUGAAUAUAAAAACCAUAUGUGUUGGAUGCUGUGUUCUUUAUGCUGAGGAGGUUGGAGCUGGGAGAAAAUGUAGAGGGAUGUCCCUAAUGGAAAUCGCUGCUAUGAGACAAUGUUGUCCACCAUAGAGGGAUUCCCGCCAGGGACCCAAACCACCAUCACUGGAGGUCAAAGAUAAAAUUCAAAGAGACUGAUAAAGGGCAGCCACUCUGACACCAACAAAUGGAGCAGACAGUAAUUUUCCUAUCUCUAGAAUAUUGAAGACAAGAGUCCAGAGAACUGGAUUGAAAUACAGGUGGGAGAAAUAGGAGUCCUCGUGCACAAAGACAGUAUGAAGGCAGCCUGCGGGAGGGUGACACUCAUUGAUAGUUGCUGAAAGCCCAUCACACAAUGGAAGAACAGUGGGGGAAAUGAACAUAAAAUAUAUGUGAUGCGGUGAAGCAGUAGAGGAUGCUUCCUACACCUUCCACAGAGAACCCAAUUAUGUGCAGAGAACCCUGGGAGAGAAGAGAAUGGUUGAGGGAGUACCUGUCCUGUCACCAGAGCUGGUUCCCUCACAGAGUGCUACUCAUACCCACUGCUUCUUCCUAGAGUUCCCAUUUAGGGGUGGAGACUUGGGUGGUUCGUAGGGAAAUUGAUUAUUAUGACAUAAUCAGUUGUUAUCUCCCCGGUCUGACAUGCCUCACAGGAAAAACAGUGGCAGCCCAUGUUGUAAGCACACACCCAUCUCCCCUGUGAGCUGAAAUUGGGAUGAGCAGAAAGAUCUGGUCUCAGCAGGAGUCUGUCUAAUAAAGAACACCUGUGAAGAAAACUACUUUCUAAUAAGUUUGUUGGUCCUUGUUGGCUGUUACUCCAUUAUUCUCUCUUUAGGUAUUGUUGAGGAUGAGGAUACCACCACUUGAUAUCUGAAAUGAAAUGACAAAUGUAAAUCUAUUGCUUAUUACAGCAAGUCAGAGCAAUGCUGAACAGGCACCAUCCCACUAAGCAGAAUGGAGUGCUGAUUUAGCAUAAGGGGUUUGUGGGAAGCUUGGAGUUGAGGGAUUGGAGGACUUUCAGAGGUAUGAAUGGGUUCCAUCAUCUGUUGAGGCCUGGCUACUUCAGGGGGAUUGCUGUUGAUUGAUUGGUGCUCUGAGACAUGUUUUUCAGAGGACCUCUGAUCCUGAUCAGCUGGUUUUAAGAAGUGAAGGCUGACAUUGAUUAUAUUGCAAAAGUUAUGUUCACUCAAGCAAGUUAUCCUGGAUCUAUUAAUCAGGUUUAAAUCUCUCUCUGGUGGCUACAGAACAAUACACGUGCUCUGUAAAAGCAAAUAAAAGUGGAAUUUUAGAAGUCAGUCUUUGGUAAAAAACAGAAAUAAAAAGCAGAAACUAUUA
rnacentral:sRNA from 1 species